GAUGGCCAAGUGGUUAGAGCAUCCGCCUUGGAUGUGAGAGGUCGUGGGUUCGAUCCCCGGACAAGUCA